GAUGAACGCUGGCGGCGUGCCUAAUACAUGCAAGUCGAACGAACAGACGAUGAUCUUGCUCCGCUGACGUUAGCGGAGCACGGGUGAGUAACACGUGGAUCACCUACCUAUAAGACUGGUAUCAUUUCGAGACACCGGCGCUAAUACCGUAUAAUAUAUUGAACCGCAUUGUUCAAUGGUGAAAGACGGCUGUUCUGUCACGUAUAGCUGCAUCUGCGCCUCAUUAGGUAGUUGGUAAGGUAACGGCUUAUCAAGGCGAGGAUGCGUAGCCGACCUAAGAGGGUGAUCGGCCACCUUGGAACUGAGACACGCACCAGACUACUACGGGAGGCAGCAGUAGGGAAUCGUCCGCAACGGGCGAGAGCAUGACGGAGCAACGCGGAGUGAGUGAUGAAGGUCUUGGGUUCGUAAUAACCUGUUAUUAGUGAUGAACAAAUGUGUACGUAGCCAUGGCCGGAUUGACGGUAACUAAUAAGAAAGCAACGGCUAACUACGUG
rnacentral:rRNA from 1 species